rnacentral:rRNA from 1 species
AGCCUGAUGCAGCGGCGACGCGUGAGGGAUGACGGCCUUCGGGUUGUAAACCUCUUUCUCUAAGGAAGAAGCGAAAGUGACGGUACCUGCAGAAGAAGCGCCGGCUAACUACGUGCCAGCAGCCGCGGUAAUACGUAAGGCGCAAGCGUUAUCCGGAAUUAUUGGGCGUAAAGAGCUCGUAGGCGGUUUGUCGCGUCUGCCGUGAAAGUCCGGGGCUCAACUCCGGAUCUGCGGUGGGUACGGGCAGACUAGAGUGAUGUAGGGGAGACUGGAAUUCCUGGUGUAGCGGUGAAAUGCGCAGAUAUCAGGAGGAACACCGAUGGCGAAGGCAGGUCUCUGGGCAUUAACUGACGCUGAGGAGCGAAAGCAUGGGGAGCGAACAGGAUUAGAUACCCUGGUAGUCCAUGCCGUAAACGUUGGGCACUAGGUGUGGGGGACAUUCCACGUUUUCCGCGCCGUAUCUAACGCAUUAAGUGCCCCGCCUGGGGAGUACGGCCGCAAGGCUAAAACUCAAAUGAAUUGACGG